rnacentral:rRNA from 1 species
AACGCGAAGAACCUUACCAGGGCUUGACAUCUGGCGAACGCCUUUGAAAGAAGGAAGUGCCCGCAAGGGAGCGCCAAGACAGGUGGUGCAUGGCUGUCGUCAGCUCGUGCCGUGAGAUGUUGGGUUAAGUCCCGCAACGAGCGCAACCCUUAUCCCUAGUUGCCAUCGGGUCAAGCCGGGCACUCUAGUGAAACUGCCUCGGAUAACGAGGAGGAAGGUGGGGAUGACGUCAAGUCCUCAUGGCCUUUAUGUCCAGGGCUACACACGUGCUACAAUGGCCGGUACAAACCGUCGCAAACCCGUGAGGGGGAGCUAAUCGGAAAAAGCCGGCCUCAGUUCGGAUUGGAGUCUGCAACUCGACUCCAUGAAGCUGGAAUCGCUAGUAAUCGCGGAUCAGAACGCCGCGGUGAAUACGUUCCCGGGCCUUGUACACACCGCAUAC